AGUGAGAUAGCUGGGUGGUUCCAUUCCAAGUUUUCUGAGGAAUCUCCAUAUUGCUUUCCAGAAUGGUUGCACCAAUUUGCAGCCCCACCAGCAAU
rnacentral:pre_miRNA from 1 species